rnacentral:lncRNA from 1 species
UAACCUUUAAUUCAGUGCAUGCUAAUAAAUUAGAAUAAUUGCUAGCCAUAUUGAACUAUCCAUUUUAAACAGCAGAGUAAAUAAACUAAAAAUGCCAGGACUUGAUAUUUCUAUUAACUACGACUUGAUUGUCUACAAAUUCAGUCCUUCCCUUUACGUUGUUGAUCACAUUGGAUCCUAAACUAGUCACUAGGGGGCAAUUAUCCCAAACCAAUAUAUGAUUAGUACCCACUACACAUCAAAAGUCCAAAACCAAUCGUCCAAUGACUACAACAUCAAAUUCCAAAUAGUUUUUAGACAGUUCGAUCCAGUCAAGUUAUACAAUCUAAAGUCUACAUAAAUACAAAUCAACAUUGGACUAUAACAUAUCGUUUAACAUUUGUAUCGACUAAAAAAAUGGCAGUCCAAACAGAUGCCGUUUAAGGAACAUAUUUAUCUCAUUUCCACCUCAAUAGUUACAUCAAAUCAGAUUUGGAUGUGUACCUGGUAUUUUGGAAAACACGAAAAGAAGAAAGAGUGAACAACAACAGUAGUGACAGCAAUGCAGCAACAAUAAUACAACACAGCACAACAGUAACACCAGAUGAAACCCAGGAGCAAAUUCAAAAACCAAAUGGAAUACAGAUACGUUUGAUGAACAUCGACAAUAUAUGCCCAAUGAUAGAACCGGGCAGAAUCAAACGACAAUAGCAACAAAGGAAAACAAACCGCUUUCUGAUUUUGGACGCUCAAAGAAGAAGGCUUCAAAUUUCACAGAAGUAAAUACAACCUAGUACUGAUUUUCAGAAGUUAGAAGAAGCAACUUCUUUCAGUUUUCAACUCUCAAAACACUACAAUUCUUAUGUCAAAGUUCAAAACUUUUUCAAUUCAAAGUUCUGAAAAAUCUUUUUGUUUCACAAAAAACUUUCGCCAUUAAAAUCUGGAUCCUUUUUCUCAAGUUUUUGUUCUCCAAAAUCUGAUCUUCAAAUUAGCCAAAUGACUCUUAUUUAUCUAAAAACAAGACCAUCUCCCCUUUCCACUUUAAUUAUUAUUACUAUCCUUUUAUCAUUACCCUUCCAAUUACCCCUUCUUUAAUAUUCAGCGCCCAAAUAUGCUCUUUUAUGUGUGUUCUUUACACUUUUUAUCAUUAAACUACUAUUUCUUAUUCCAAUCAAGUAAGAGUAGUCAAAUUACCCUACUACCCUUUGUCUAUUAACUUUUCACUUUCACUUAUAAUUGUCUCCAAUCAGUUUAUUAGCAUCUUUAAUUUAAUUACUAGUGGUUAAAUUCAAAUAAACACUUGAAAUCCCCUUUCAAGCUGUAACAUACCCACAACUAUAUCUAAUUCAAACUUGCUAACUAACUAAGUAGAUUCCUAAUUGAUACAAAUAAAUUGAAUUUAAAUCAAAAUCACACAAAAGACUUAACAGAACACUGAAGUUGGAACUGAAGCUAAAGCUGAAUCCAAAUCUCAUUGAUACUUAACAGAAGACUUAUCUACAAUUUGAAAUUUGACCUCGAAUUAGAUCAAAAGUAUUGCAGUGAAUUAGAACACAGCCCUAUUGGACCAUACAUGUCAGAUUUCCAGUCAUGAUAGACAUACUAUGGGAAUGAAUGAUUGAGUUCAUAAUUCUAAAUUAAGCAAAAAGUGAGCGAAACUGUGAUAUACUCGAUAAAACAUGAACUGAAUUCAUAUGCAAACUGAUGAACAUCAACGAACAAACAUCAUUAUAAAUGAAACCAUUUGAACCACUGGUACCAUCAAACAAAUCACAUGAGUAAUCACAAAAGUGCAUUACGGAUACUAACUUAAAAAUUAAACUAAAGGAUAAAACAAAUUCAACUGGUUCAAUAGCCUAAUAUAUAUCAACGACCAGUGAUGAAAAUUGGACCAGAAAAAGGUCCGACAGAGUAGGGAGAAAUAAUUGAUAGAAGGUGAUGAAACACCACGGAAGCAACCUUAGCAACAAACAAAGAAAGUAAAGAAAAAGAAAAUACCUCAAAAGCAGUCCCAGUUUGCAUUUGCUCUAAUUGAAGCCUCAAUUUGAACUUGAAGCCGACAUGGGCCUUAAUCGAGUGUUCUCGAUGGAGAACACACGACUAAGGUCAAUGACGACCUCAAUCUUCCUACUUCGGCCCGAUUCCAGGCUUGGCACUGUUAGGGUUCGUUCAAUCAAUUCGAGAUUUGUCAAGUUCAGGUUUGAUUACAGUAAAACUAAGGGUGGUUCAAUGGCGAGGGAGGUCAGGUGGACAACUGGAAUAAGUUUGGGGUUAAUUGAACGAACUAGGGUUCCGGACCAGUUUUUUGAUCUAAUAUUCGAAUGGCUUGGGGUGAUUCGAAGCAAAACGAGUGUGGAUUUGGAGAGGGGGGAUCAAGAUGGUUCAGUGGUGUGAUUUUCACGGUCAUUGGAGGUGGUGCCGCCUGAUUUCAGGCGAAGGAGUGAGGGGGCGGCUAGGGUUUGGGCUAGGGUUUUUGUUCAGUCUCUGAGAGAGACAAAAGAGGGGGGGGG